rnacentral:rRNA from 1 species
UACGUAGGGGGCAAGCGUUGUCCGGAAUUAUUGGGCGUAAAGAGCGCGUAGGCGGUCCGGUAAGUCAGCUGUGAAAGUCAAGGGCUCAACCCUUGAAAGCCGGUUGAUACUGUCGGGCUAGAGUCCGGAAGAGGCGAGUGGAAUUCCCGGUGUAGCGGUGAAAUGCGCAGAUAUCAGGAGGAACACCAAUGGCGAAGGCAGCUCGCUGGAACGGUACUGACGCUGAGGCGCGAAAGCGUGGGGAGCGAACAGG